rnacentral:rRNA from 1 species
AGUGAACGCUGGCGGUAGGCCUAACACAUGCAAGUCGAACGGCAGCACAGUAAGAGCUUGCUCUUACGGGUGGCGAGUGGCGGACGGGUGAGGAAUACAUCGGAAUCUACUUUUUCGUGGGGGAUAACGUAGGGACACUUACGCUAAUACCGCAUACGACCUACGGGUGAAAGCAGGGGAUCUUCGGACCUUGCGCGAUUGAAUGAGCCGAUGUCGGAUUAGCUAGUUGGCGGGGUAAAGGCCCACCAAGGCGACGAUCCGUAGCUGGUCUGAGAGGAUGAUCAGCCACACUGGAACUGAGACACGGUCCAGACUCCUACGGGAGGCAGCAGUGGGGAAUAUUGGACAAUGGGCGCAAGCCUGAUCCAGCCAUGCCGCGUGGGUGAAGAAGGCCUUCGGGUUGUAAAGCCCUUUUGUUGGGAAAGAAAAGCAGCAGGUUAAUACCCCGCUGUUCUGACGGUACCCAAAGAAUAAGCACCGGCUAACUUCGUG